GACCCGUGGGUCCAACCGGACCCAAACACUUAAAUGAGGCCGCAGCUCUUUUCUUCCUCACAAGCUGCUGCGACGCCAUUACAGCAAGGGAGGGAGAGGAAAUUCACAAACCCUCACCAUUCCUUCCAACUACCAUAACUUCCUCAUCCAGGCUCCGAUCGUCGCACCGUUUGCGGCCACGUGUCGGGCUCGUCGAGCUCUUCAAUUAUAUCCAAACAAAAUAGGGUCCACUAGACUUGAUUUCUUGUGGGUAUUGCCCAAGGAUCAGUGGGUAAAGAUGCAGGUCGAGAGGCUCCUCGCUAGGCGUCUGGAUUCUGGAAAGCGAAGUAGUCCUUGGGUGUAUUUUGGUUUCUAUUUGUAUAUAUGUAUAUGUGUGUAGCUUACUCUCCAAGUAACUUAUGUAUGCUACUCUUCUUAGAGGUUGAGGGAGAGAUAGGAGUUUACUUUGGUAUUUUGGUAUAUUUUGGGGACACUUAUGUAUGUUUAUAUGUAUAUAUGUAUCCUCCGGCCAGCCUUAGCUUCGCAGGCUGAGUCAGAGGCUAGUUAUGCUGUUCCUUGGCUUUUCUUUA